rnacentral:rRNA from 2 species
UCUGGUGACGAGGGCGGAGAGGUCACACCUGUUCCCAUUCCGAACACAGUAGUUAAGCUCUCCAGCGCCGAUGGUAGUUGGGGUUCUUCCCCUGCGAGAGUAGGACGUCGCCAGGC